CGGUGAAUACGUUCACGGGCCUUGUACACACCGCCCGUCAAACCAUGGGAGUUGGUUUUACCUUAAGGCGGUAUCCUAACCUUCGGGAGGGAGCCGACCACGGUAGGGUCAAUGACUGGGGUU
rnacentral:rRNA from 1 species